rnacentral:rRNA from 1 species
GACGAACGCUGGCGGCGUGCUUAACACAUGCAAGUCGAACGGAAAGGCCCUGCUUUUGUGGGGUGCUCGAGUGGCGAACGGGUGAGUAACACGUGAGUAACCUGCCCUUGACUUUGGGAUAACUUCAGGAAACUGGGGCUAAUACCGGAUAGGAGCUCCUGCUGCAUGGUGGGGGUUGGAAAGUUUCGGCGGUUGGGGAUGGACUCGCGGCUUAUCAGCUUGUUGGUGGGGUAGUGGCUUACCAAGGCUUUGACGGGUAGCCGGCCUGAGAGGGUGACCGGCCACAUUGGGACUGAGAUACGGCCCAGACUCCUACGGGAGGCAGCAGUGUGGAAUAUUGCAAAGUGGGCGGAAGCCUGAUGCAGCAAAGCCGCGUGCGGGAUGACGGCCUUCGGGUUGUAAACCGCUUUCGCCUGUGACGAAGCGUGAGUGACGGUAAUGGGUAAAGAAGCACCGGCUAACUACGUG